rnacentral:rRNA from 1 species
UCCAGCCAUGCCGCGUGUGUGAAGAAGGCCCUCGGGUUGUAAAGCACUUUCAGCGAGGAAGAACGCCUAGCGGUUAAUACCCGCUAGGAAAGACAUCACUCGCAGAAGAAGCACCGGCUAACUCCGUGCCAGCAGCCGCGGUAAUACGGAGGGUGCAAGCGUUAAUCGGAAUUACUGGGCGUAAAGCGCGCGUAGGUGGCUUGAUAAGCCGGUUGUGAAAGCCCCGGGCUCAACCUGGGAACGGCAUCCGGAACUGUCAAGCUAGAGUGCAGGAGAGGAAGGUAGAAUUCCCGGUGUAGCGGUGAAAUGCGUAGAGAUCGGGAGGAAUACCAGUGGCGAAGGCGGCCUUCUGGACUGACACUGACACUGAGGUGCGAAAGCGUGGGUAGCAAACAGGAUUAGAUACCCUGGUAGUCCACGCCGUAAACGAUGUCGACCAGCCGUUGGGUGCCUAGCGCACUUUGUGGCGAAGUUAACGCGAUAAGUCGACCGCCUGGGGAGUACGGCCGCAAGGUUAAAACUCAAAUGAAUUGACGGGGGCCCGCACAAGCGGUGGAGCAUGUGGUUUAAUUCGAUGCAACGCGAAGAACCUUACCUACUCUUGACAUCCUGCGAAUUUGGUAGAGAUACCUUAGUGCCUUCGGGAACGCAGAGACAGGUGCUGCAUGGCUGUCGUCAGCUCGUGUUGUGAAAUGUUGGGUUAAGUCCCGUAACGAGCGCAACCCUUGUCCUUAUUUGCCAGCGCGUAAUGGCGGGAACUCUAAGGAGACUGCCGGUGACAAACCGGAGGAAGGUGGGGACGACGUCAAGUCAUCAUGGCCCUUACGAGUAGGGCUACACACGUGCUACAAUGGUCGGUACAAAGGGUUGCCAACUCGCGAGAGUGAGCCAAUCCCGAAAAGCCGAUCUCAGUCCGGAUCGGAGUCUGCAACUCGACUCCGUGAAGUCGGAAUCGCUAGUAAUCGUGGAUCAGAAUGCCACG